rnacentral:rRNA from 1 species
CAGGCUUAACACAUGCAAGUCGAGGGGCAUCAGGAAGAAAGCUUGCUUUCUUUGCUGGCGACCGGCGCACGGGUGAGUAACACGUAUCCAACCUGCCCUUUACUCGGGGAUAGCCUUUCGAAAGAAAGAUUAAUACCCGAUAGCAUAAUGAUUCCGCAUGGUUUCAUUAUUAAAGGAUUCCGGUAAAGGAUGGGGAUGCGUUCCAUUAGGUUGUUGGUGAGGUAACGGCCCACCAAGCCUUCGAUGGAUAGGGGUUCUGAGAGGAAGGUCCCCCACAUUGGAACUGAGACACGGUCCAAACUCCUACGGGAGGCAGCAGUGAGGAAUAUUGGUCAAUGGGCGCUAGCCUGAACCAGCCAAGUAGCGUGAAGGAUGAAGGCUCUAUGGGUCGUAAACUUCUUUUAUAUAAGAAUAAAGUGCAGUAUGUAUACUGUUUUGUAUGUAUUAUAUGAAUAAGGAUCGGCUAACUCCGUGCCAGCAGCCGCGGUAAUACGGAGGAUCCGAGCGUUAUCCGGAUUUAUUGGGUUUAAAGGGAGCGUAGGUGGACUGGUAAGUCAGUUGUGAAAGUUUGCGGCUCAACCGUAAAAUUGCAGUUGAUACUGUCAGUCUUGAGUACAGUAGAGGUGGGCGGAAUUCGUGGUGUAGCGGUGAAAUGCCUUAGAUAUCACGAAGAACUCCGAUUGCGAAGGCAGCUCACUGGACUGCAACUGACACUGAUGCUCGAAAGUGUGGGUAUCAAACAGGAUUAGAUACCCUGGUAGUCCACACAGUAAACGAUGAAUACUCGCUGUUUGCGAUAUACAGUAAGCGGCCAAGCGAAAGCAUUAAGUAUUCCACCUGGGGAGUACGCCGGCAACGGUGAAACUCAAAGGAAUUGACGGGGGCCCGCACAAGCGGAGGAACAUGUGGUUUAAUUCGAUGAUACGCGAGGAACCUUACCCGGGCUUAAAUUGCAGUGGAAUGAUGUGGAAACAUGUCAGUGAGCAAUCACCGCUGUGAAGGUGCUGCAUGGUUGUCGUCAGCUCGUGCCGUGAGGUGUCGGCUUAAGUGCCAUAACGAGCGCAACCCUUAUCUUUAGUUACUAACAGGUUAUGCUGAGGACUCUAGAGAGACUGCCGUCGUAAGAUGUGAGGAAGGUGGGGAUGACGUCAAAUCAGCACGGCCCUUACGUCCGGGGCUACACACGUGUUACAAUGGGGGGUACAGAAGGCAGCUAGCGGGUGACCGUAUGCUAAUCCCAAAAUCCUCUCUCAGUUCGGAUCGAAGUCUGCAACCCGACUUCGUGAAGCUGGAUUCGCUAGUAAUCGCGCAUCAGCCACGGCGCGGUGAAUACGUUCCCGGGCCUUGUACACACCGCCCGUCAAGCCAUGGGAGCCGGGGGUACCUGAAGUACGUAACCGCAAGGAUCGUCCUAGGGUAAAACUGGUGACUGG